rnacentral:rRNA from 1 species
UGGGGAAUAUUGGACAAUGGGCGCAAGCCUGAUCCAGCCAUGCCGCGUGAGUGAUGAAGGCCCUAGGGUUGUAAAGCUCUUUCACCGGUGAAGAUAAUGACGGUAACCGGAGAAGAAGCCCCGGCUAACUUCGUGCCAGCAGCCGCGGUAAUACGAAGGGGGCUAGCGUUGUUCGGAUUUACUGGGCGUAAAGCGCACGUAGGCGGACUAUUAAGUCAGGGGUGAAAUCCCGGGGCUCAACCCCGGAACUGCCUUUGAUACUGGUAGUCUUGAGUUCGAGGGAGGUGGGUGGAAUUCCGAGUGUAGAGGUGAAAUUCGUAGAUAUUCGGAGGAACACCAGUGGCGAAGGCGGCUCACUGGCUCGAUACUGACGCUGAGGUGCGAAGGCGUGGGGAGCAAACAGG